rnacentral:rRNA from 1 species
UACGAAGGGGGCUAGCGUUGCUCGGAAGCACUGGGCGUAAAGCGCACGUAGGCGGAUUGCUAAGUCAGGGGUGAAAUCCUGGAGCUCAACUCCAGAACUGCCUUUGAUACUGGCGACCUUGAGUCCGGGAGAGGUGAGUGGAACUGCGAGUGUAGAGGUGAAAUUCGUAGAUAUUCGCAAGAACACCAGUGGCGAAGGCGGCUCACUGGCCCGGUACUGACGCUGAGGUGCGAAAGCGUGGGGAGCAAACAGG